CUGGAUUGGUUAUGUGCUCCUGGGAGCAUCAGGCCAUGGCUGCUUUGAGUUCGAUCAUGGCUCAGACGCUGGCGAGAUCACUUUACACAUGCAAGUCGAACGGCAGCACGGACUUCGGUCUGGUGGCGAGUGGCGAACGGGUGAGUAAUGUAUCGGAACGUGCCUAAUAGCGGGGGAUAACUACGCGAAAGCGUAGCUAGCCAUACGCCCUUCGGGGAAAGCGGAACCUUCGGGCCUCGCACUAUUAAACGGCGAUAUCGGAUUAGCUAGUUGGUGGGGUAACGGCUCACCAAGGCGACGAUCCAGUAGCUGGUUUAGAGGACGACCAGCCACACUGGGACUGAGACGGCCCAGACUCCUACAGGAGGCAGCAGUGGGGAGUACACGGACAAUGGAAGCCCUGAUCCAGCUACAUCCGCAUCGUGCGACUAGGGCGCGCUUCGGGUUGCCAAAGCCGCUUUUGGCAGGAAAGAAACGGCACGGGAUAAUACCCCGUGCAACUGACAGUACCUGCAGAAUAAGCACCGGCUAACUACGUGCCAGCAGCCGCGGUAUGCAUGGGUGCAAGCGUUAAUCGGAAUUACUGGGCGUAAAGCGUGCGAGCGGUUCGGAAAGAAAGAUGUGAAAUCCCAGAGCUUAACUUUGGAACUGCAUUUAACUACCGAGCUAGAGUGUGUCAGAGGUGGAAUUCCGCGUGUAGCGGUGAAAUGCGUAGAUAUGCGGAGGAACACCGAUGGCGAAGGCAACCUCCUGGGAUAACGCGACGCUCCUUGCACGAAAGCGUGGGGGCAAAACAGGAUUAGAUACCCUGGUAGUCCACGCCCUAAACGAUGUCAACUGGCUAUUUUGGGGCCUUCCAGGCCUUGGUGGCCCGCAGCAACUAACGCGUAAGAGUUCCGCCUGGGAAAUACGGUCGCAAGAUUAAAACUCAAAGGAAUUGACGGGGACACGCACAAGCGGUGGAUGAUGUGGAUUAAUUCGAUGCAACGCGAAAAAACCUUACCUACCCUUGACAUACGGAAUCCCGAAGAGAUUUGGGAGUGCUCGCAAGAGAACCCGGAACACAGGUGCUGCAUGGCGAUCAGCUCGUGUCGACGAGAUGUUGGGUUAAGUCCCGCAACAGGCGCAACCCUUGUCGUGGUUGCUACGAAGGGCAUAAUGAGACUGCCGGUGACAAACCGGAGGAAGGUGAGAGGGAUGACGUCAAGUCCUCAUAGCCCUUAUGGGUGGGGCUUCACACGUCAUACAAUGGUCGGGACAGAGGGCCAGCCAACCCGCGAGGGGAGCCAAUCCCAGAAACCCGAUCGUAGUCCGGAUCGCAGUCUGCAACUCGACUGCGUGAAGUCGGAAUCGCUAGUAAUCGCCCGGAUCAGCAUGUCGCAGUGAAUACGUUCGGGUCUGUACACACCGCCCGUCACACCAUGGGAGUGGGUUUUACAGAAGUAGUUAGCCUAACCGUAAGGAGGCGAUUACCACGGUAAGUUCAUGACUGGGGGUGAAGUCGUAACGAAUGA
rnacentral:rRNA from 1 species